rnacentral:rRNA from 1 species
UACGUAGGGUGCAAGCGUUGUCCGGAAUUAUUGGGCGUAAAGAGCUCGUAGGCGGCUUGUCGCGUCGUCCGUGAAAACCUGGGGCUCAACUCCAGGCUUGCGGUCGAUACGGGCAGGCUCGAGUUCGGUAGGGGAGACUGGAAUUCCUGGUGGAGCGGUGAAAUGCGCGGAUAUCAGGAGGAACACCGGUGGCGAAGGCGGGUCUCUGGGCCACUACUGACGCUGAGAAGCGAAAGCAUGGGGAGCGAACAGG